rnacentral:rRNA from 1 species
AAGUCGAACGGUAGCACAGAGAGCUUGCUCUCGGGUGACGAGUGGCGGACGGGUGAGUAAUGUCUGGGAAACUGCCCGAUGGAGGGGGAUAACUACUGGAAACGGUAGCUAAUACCGCAUAAUGUCGCAAGACCAAAGAGGGGGACCUUCGGGCCUCUUGCCAUCGGAUGUGCCCAGAUGGGAUUAGCUAGUAGGCGGGGUAAUGGCCCACCUAGGCGACGAUCCCUAGCUGGUCUGAGAGGAUGACCAGCCACACUGGAACUGAGACACGGUCCAGACUCCUACGGGAGGCAGCAGUGGGGAAUAUUGCACAAUGGGCGCAAGCCUGAUGCAGCCAUGCCGCGUGUAUGAAGAAGGCCUUCGGGUUGUAAAGUACUUUCAGCGAGGAGGAAGGCAUUGUGGUUAAUAACCGCAGUGAUUGACGUUACUCGCAGAAGAAGCACCGGCUAACUCCGUGCCAGCAGCCGCGGUAAUACGGAGGGUGCAAGCGUUAAUCGGAAUUACUGGGCGUAAAGCGCACGCAGGCGGUCUGUCAAGUCGGAUGUGAAAUCCCCGGGCUCAACCUGGGAACUGCAUUCGAAACUGGCAGGCUAGAGUCUUGUAGAGGGGGGUAGAAUUCCAGGUGUAGCGGUGAAAUGCGUAGAGAUCUGGAGGAAUACCGGUGGCGAAGGCGGCCCCCUGGACAAAGACUGACGCUCAGG